UCUCCGUUGGUGAACCAGCGGAGGGAUCAUUACAGGACUCGCAAGACUCCUACAACCCUGUGAACUUAACUAUACGCACGUUGCUUCGGCGGGUGUCUCGGAGGGGGUUCUCCCUCCCCGAGACGCUAAACCCGCCGGCAGCCUACUAUACUCUGUCUCUUUGCGUUGGCAUCUCGAGUACAAUCAAACAAGUUAAAACUUUCAACAACGGAUCUCUUGGUUCUG
rnacentral:misc_RNA from 1 species